rnacentral:rRNA from 1 species
GGACCAAGGAGUCUAGCAUGUGCGCAAGUCAUUGGGACUCUAUCGAAACCCAAAGGCGAAAUGAAAGCGAAGGCCGCCCUACGGGCGUGCCGAGGGAGGACGUGGCGCGCUGCGGCGCGUCGCCGCACUCCCGGGGCGUCUCUAUGGCCCAUCGCGGGUCGAGGCGCACCCAGAGCGCACACGCUGGGACCC